GACGAACGCUGGCGGCGUGCUUAACACAUACAAGUCGAACGGAAAGGCCCUGCUUUUGUGGGGUGCUCGAGUGGCGAACGGGUGAGUAACACGUGAGUAACCUGCCCUUGACUUUGGGAUAACUUCAGGAAACUGGGGCUAAUACCGGAUAGGAGCUCCUGCUGCAUGGUGGGGGUUGGAAAGUUUCGGCGGUUGGGGAUGGACUCGGGGCUUAUCAGCUUGUUGGUGGGGUAGUGGCUUACCAAGGCUUUGACGGGUAGCCGGCCUGAGAGGGUGACCGGCCACAUUGGGACUGAGAUACGGCACAGACUCCUACGGGAGGCAGCAGUGUGGAAUAUUGCACGAUGGGCGGAAGCCUGAUGCAGCAACGCCGCGUGCGGGAUGACGGCCUUCGGGUUGUAAGCCGCUUUCGCCUGUGACGAAGCGUGAGUGACGGUAAUGGGUAAAGAAGCCCCGGCUAACUACGUG
rnacentral:rRNA from 1 species